rnacentral:rRNA from 1 species
CUAGCAUAUCAAUAAGCGGAGGAAAAGAAACCAACAGGGAUUGCCUCAGUAACGGCGAGUGAAGCGGCAACAGCUCAAAUUUGAAAUCUGGCUCUUUCAGGGUCCGAGUUGUAAUUUGUAGAAGAUGCUUCGGGUGUGGCUCCGGUCUAAGUUCCUUGGAACAGGACGUCAUAGAGGGUGAGAAUCCCGUAUGUGACUGGGUGCCUUCGCUCAUGUGAAGCUCUUUCGACGAGUCGAGUUGUUUGGGAAUGCAGCUCAAAAUGGGUGGUAAAUUUCAUCUAAAGCUAAAUAUUGGCCAGAGACCGAUAGCGCACAAGUAGAGUGAUCGAAAGAUGAAAAGCACUUUGGAAAGAGAGUUAAACAGUACGUGAAAUUGUUGAAAGGGAAGCGCUUGCAACCAGACUUGCACGCGGUUGAUCAUCCGGUGUUCUCACCGGUGCACUCUGCCGCGUUCAGGCCAGCAUCGGUUUCGGUGGUUGGAUAAAGGCCUAGGGAAUGUAGCUUCUUUCGGGGAGUGUUAUAGCCCUAGGUGCAAUGCAGCCUAUCGGGACCGAGGACCGCGCUUCGGCUAGGAUGCUGGCGUAAUGGUUGUAAGCGACCCGUCUUGAAACACGGACCAAGGAGUCUAACAUCUAUGCGAGUGUUUGGGUGUCAAACCCAUACGCGUAAUGAAAGUGAACGGAGGUGAGAACCCUUAAGGGUGCAUCAUCGACCGAUCCUGAUGUCUUCGGAUGGAUUUGAGUAAGAGCAUAGCUGUUGGGACCCGAAAGAUGGUGAACUAUGCGUGAAUAGGGUGAAGCCAGAGGAAACUCUGGUGGAGGCUCGCAGCGGUUCUGACGUGCAAAUCGAUCGUCAAAUUUGCGCAUAGGGGCGAAAGACUAAUCGAACCAUCUAGUAGCUGGUUCCUGCGA